GACGAACGCUGGCGGCGUGCUUAACACAUGCAAGUCGAACGGAAAGGCCUGCUUUCCCUUGUGGAUUGCGGGUACUCGAGUGGCGAACGGGUGAGUAACACGUGAGUGAUCUGCCCCCAACUUGGGUAUAAGCCUGGGAAACUGGGUCUAAUUCCCGAUAGGACUGAAGGGUGGUGCCUGUGUGGGAAACCGAUUUUCUAGUGGUUGGGGAUGAGCUCGCGGCCUAUCAGCUUGUUGGUGGGGUAAUGGCCUACCAAGGCGGCGACGGGUAGCCGGCCUGAGAGGGUGGACGGCCACAUUGGGACUGAGAUACGGCCCAGACUCCUACGGGAGGCAGCAGUGGGGAAUAUUGCACAAUGGGCGGAAGCCUGAUGCAGCGACGCCGCGUGGGGGAUGACGGCCUUCGGGUUGUAAACUCCUUUCGACCGCGAGGAAGCCACCUGGUUGGAAGGGUGGUGACGGUAGUGGUAGAAGAAGCACCGGCUAACUACGUG
rnacentral:rRNA from 1 species